UACAGAGGGGGCAAGCGUUGUUCGGAAUUACUGGGCGUAAAGGGCGCGUAGGCGGCCUGCUAAGUCGAACGUGAAAUCCCCGAGCUCAACUCGGGAACUGCGUCCGAUACUGGCAGGCUUGAAUCCGGAAGAGGUGAGUGGAAUUCCUGGUGUAGCGGUGAAAUGCGCAGAUAUCAGGAGGAACACCAAUGGCGAAGGCAGCUCACUGGGACGGUAUUGACGCUGAGACGCGAAAGCGUGGGGAGCAAACAGG
rnacentral:rRNA from 1 species